CCUACGGGAGGCUGCAGUGAGGAAUAUUGGUCAAUGGACGAGAGUCUGAACCAGCCAAGUAGCGUGCAGGAUGACUGCCCUAUGGGUUGUAAACUUCUUUUAUAUGGGAAUAAAAUGUUCCACGUGUGGGAUUUUGUAUGUACCAUAUGAAUAAGGAUCGGCUAACUCCGUGCCAGCAGCCGCGGUAAUACGGAGGAUCCGAGCGUUAUCCGGAUUUAUUGGGUUUAAAGGGAGCGUAGGUGGAUUGUUAAGUCAGUUGUGAAAGUUUGCGGCUUAACCGUAAAAUUGCAGUUGAAACUGGCAGUCUUGAGUACAGUAGAGGUGGGCGGAAGUCGUGGUGUAGCGGUGAAAUGCUUAGAUAUCACGAAGAACUCCGAUUGCGAAGGCAGUUCACUGGACUGCAACUGACACUGAGGCUCGAAAGUGUGGGUAUCAAACAGGAUUAGAUACCCCAGUAGUC
rnacentral:rRNA from 1 species